rnacentral:rRNA from 1 species
AACGAACGCUGGCGGCAUGCCUAACACAUGCAAGUCGAACGAGACCUUCGGGUCUAGUGGCGCACGGGUGCGUAACGCGUGGGAAUCUACCCUUGGGUUCGGAAUAACAGUUAGAAAUGACUGCUAAUACCGGAUGAUGACGUAAGUCCAAAGAUUUAUCGCCCAAGGAUGAGCCCGCGUAAGAUUAGCUUGUUGGUGGGGUAAUGGCCUACCAAGGCGACGAUCUUUAGCUGGUCUGAGAGGAUGAUCAGCCAAACUGGGACUGAGACACGGCCCAGACUCCUACGGGAGGCAGCAGUGGGGAAUAUUGGACAAUGGGCUAAAGCCUGUUCCAGAGAUGCCGCGUGAGUGAUGAAGGCCUUAGGGUUGUAAAGCUCUUUUACCAGGGAUGAUAGUGACAGUACCUGGAGAAUAAGCUCCGGCUAACUCCGUGCCAGCAGCCGCCGUAA